CUGGAGUUAGGCAUAAAAGUGCGCAAGAGUUACAUUCCGGGAGUUUAUUUUUCACCUUAUACUACAGUCAGUGUUGGGGAGUACUCUAAAGCGGUGUAAUAUUUAGGUGUUCAUUCACUGGGUGCUAAGGAGUCUAAUUCAACACAUUGCUGGUGUUGUUUGUCUGUCGACCGUUACAGCGCCUAUCUGUGUUUCUUUCUUGGACUCCGACAUGUAGGAGGUGGCCAAGAUGUUGAUAAAAGUAAAACACAGAGAGACAAAGAAAUAUGCAAAAUUGGAAGAAGUCAGCUUCACAGAUUUUGUGAGAGCAGUGCAGCAGAAGUUUCUCAUACCAGAAAAUGCAGCACUGAAAGUCACGGAUGAGCAGGGUAUAGAGGUGGAUGAGGAUAUCUUUCCUGAACUUGCAGCAGUCAAAGAGGUGUGUUUUGUCAUCUAUACAGCUGAAGACAUCCUGGAAACACAAUCAUCCAAGAAGCUGCGUGACUGCUCAG
ensembl:lncRNA